CAAAUAAUGAGCUAGGCUGGACUAUGAUUUGACUGUCAAAGAACAUUGGCAAUAUAUGUUGACUACAAAAUCUGAGUCAAAUGAGAAGAUACUUACCCAGGGGCUGAGAGGAAGACUGCUCUGCAAUUAUGAGAACUUGAACUUGAUCCCCUGAACCCUGGUGCCUUGGCCAGCACACCCCAGGGACCAUCUGUCUUCACAGCUCCAGUACUGGUAUUACAGAUGUCUGCUACCCAGCCAGACUUGCCAAGUCCAUGAUCCUCAGGUCCCUGUGAAAGACAUUGUCUGAAAGAAAGCAUGCCUUCUCAGACCUCUUAGCUGUCCAUCACAAGACUUAAGAUGACCAUAUGAAUAAAGCUGGAUGUGUGCAAAAGCCAAA